GAUGAAGAACGUAGCGAAAUGCGAUAAAUAGUGUGAAUUGCAGAAUUCAGUGAAUCAUCGAAUCUUUGAACGCACAUUGCGCCCUUUGGUAUUCCUUAGGGCAUGCCUGUUCGAGCGUCAUUUAAACCUUCAAGCUAAGCUUGGUGUUGGGUGACUGUCCGCUUCACGGCGGACUCGCCUCAAAAUUAUUGGCGGCCGGUACAUUGGCUUCGAGCGCAGCAGAAACGCGAACUCGGGCCCGUCGUAUUGGCUCCCAGAAGCUAUCUUCACAAUUUUGACCUCGGAUCAGGUAGGGAUACCCGCUGAACUUAAGCAUAUCAAUAAGCGGAGGA
rnacentral:misc_RNA from 1 species